CCUACGGGAGGCAGCAGUAGGGAAUUUUCGUCAAUGGGCGCAAGCCUGAACGAGCAAUGCCGCGUGAACGAGGAAGGUCUUCGGAUCGUAAAGUUCUGUUGAAGGGGAAACAGAGCGGAGAGAGGAAAUGAACUCCGAUUGAUAUUACCCUUCGAGGAAGUCACGGCUAACUACGUGCCAGCAGCCGCGGUAAUACGUAGGUGGCGUGCGUUAUCCGGAAUGGUUGGGCGUAAAGGGUGCGUAGGCGGCCUGCUAAGUCUGGAGUGAAAGGUACCGGCUCAACCGGUACAGGCUCUGGAAACUGGCGGGCUAGAGAGCGGGAGAGGGCGGUGGAACGCCAUGUGUAGCGGUAAAAUGCGUAGAUAGAUGGAAGAACCCCAGUGGCGAAGGCGGCCGCCUGGCCUGUUACUGACGCUGAGGCACGAAAGCGUGGGGAGCAAAUAGGAUUAGAUACCCCAGUAGUC
rnacentral:rRNA from 1 species